GCGAGAAAACUUCACAAUGUGGGAAACCACGAUGAGGGGAUUCCAAGUGCCAGCACAAUGUGUUGGCUGUUCACUUGCCUAAAAAGCUGGUGAAGUAAGGGCCGGGUAAGACGGGUGCCAGCCGCCGCGGUAAUACCCGCGGCCCGAGUGGUGGCCAUUAUUAUUGAGCCUAAAGCGUUCGUAGCCGGUUUCGUAAAUUUCUGGGUAAAUCGGACAGCUUAACUGUCCGAAUUCCGGAAAGACUGCGAAACUUGGGACCGGAGGAGGUUGGAGGUACUCCUGGGGUAGGG
rnacentral:rRNA from 1 species